UACGUAGGGUGCAAGCGUUAAUCGGAAUUACUGGGCGUAAAGCGUGCGCAGGCGGUGAUGUAAGACAGGUGUGAAAUCCCCGGGCUUAACCUGGGAACUGCAUUUGUGACUGCAUCGCUGGAGUGCGGCAGAGGGGGAUGGAAUUCCGCGUGUAGCAGUGAAAUGCGUAGAUAUGCGGAGGAACACCGAUGGCGAAGGCAAUCCCCCGGGCCUGCACUGACGCUCAUGCACGAAAGCGUGGGGAGCAAACAGG
rnacentral:rRNA from 1 species